rnacentral:rRNA from 1 species
GCAAGUCGAACGAGAAAGCCCUUCGGGGUAAGUACAGUGGCGAACGGGUGAGUAACACGUGGGCAACCUGCCCCAGAGAGCGGGACAACCCGAGGAAACUCGGGCUAAUACCGCAUGAUGCGUCUCCGCAUAAGUGGAGCCGCCAAAUGGUAGCUUCGGCCUCCGCUCUGGGAUGGGCCCGCGUCGGAUUAGCUAGUUGGUUGGGGUAAUGGCCCACCAAGGCGACGAUCCGUAGCUGGUCUGAGAGGACGAUC